CCUCGGAUGAAGGCCUCACUGUUCCUUCCUCACUGAAGGUUAGCCACGCUGGGGUCACCUAUGACCUCAGAUCACCGCAGCCGCCAUCAAGUCCUUCCCUCCCUCAUGUUAGGACGUGGAGUUCAACGGCCCCUCCCCCACCUCAGGUUCCGGGUGGAGCCAGCUGCCCUGAAAGAAGUUUGACAAUCCCAAGACCGCCAUGUUGUGAGGACAUCCAGGCUAGUCAAGUGGAGAGAACACGUGGAAAGAGCAAUGCUUGGGGUCCCCAGCUGUCCCAGCCCAGGAGACACACAUUGAAGCAGAGAAACCUUCAGAUGGGCUCCAGCCCCCACUGCGACCUCAUGAGACCCCAAGUGAGAAUUGCCCCACUGAGCCCAGCUGACUCCUAGACCAUGAGAGAUAAUAAAUUAUCCUGCUUAAGCC